UUACAGGCUACACAGGAUUAAGUGGGUUAUGCAGAAUGACAGUGUGUUCAUUACUGACUGUGGAUUAGAGAAGAGAAACUAUUAAAGACAACAGUUUGUGGACACAGCAAGAACUGACAACAUAACAGACAGCAUUAUGGACUUAGGCUUUUUCACAGACGAAAAGUUGUUUGAACUUUUCUGCCAAAACAAGACAAAGAUGUCUACAUUAGAGAGCCCACUAAUGUUCCUCCGCAAUCUUAAGGACAAUGGACUCAUUAAAGAUAAACUUUAUCAAAAGUUGGAGGUCAGCAGUAAUGAUAGUGAUUUAUAUAAUGUGUUGGAGAGUAUUGAAAAGCGUGGAAUGAAGACUGUUAGAAAGUUCUGGAAAUGUGUGGACCAAGAGCAUAUAUUACAGCGCUACAGACAACUCUCUGAAAUCAUUGCUGAGCUGAGCAAAGAUCUUGAGAAUCCACUAACCAAAAAAAUAAGAGAGAGAUCUGGGGAUCAAAGCACGGGAAAGGAAAGAGAGAUUAAAAAGAGAAGGAUAGAGAGCAUAUCUGAGAGCAAUGAAGCUGGACCGUCAUCACAAAGCACUUACAGCCAGAGGAAAACUGCUGAACAUGUGGAGAGAGUCCACUGACAUACAUGGUGAGCUACUGGACAAACAGCUAACAGCAGGAAAGCUGUCCAUUUGGAGGUAAUCGUCAGCUGGUAACACUUGAGAACAGUGAAGAAAGCGUGUACAAUGUCUUGGAGGUUAUUGAAAAGGGUGGGCUGGGUUCAGUUAAAAAUUCUGGAAUUGUGUGAACCAAAACCAUAUUACACAUUUGUACAUCCAAUUCUCAGAACUGAUAAAAAAUUACCAGCUGUUCAGAGUGGCUCUCCAAGGAAGAACGUCAACACUGGAGCCAAAGAUACAGGAAAAAGUUGUUAAAAAACAAGAGAUAGAAAGCAGCUCUCCAAGUAACCAAGCCAGUCCAUCAUCACAAAGGCACAUGGGUGAGAAAGCUAAAAAUGGAUCUCUGGGACAUGCCUAAGCAUAAGAGGUUCCUUCCUGUCACAUGUGUACAAGAAGAGGCCUUACUAAACAGAAAAGCACUGCGUAGUAGUAAGUGACUCUCUCUGAACAUAGCAUAACUUGGAUUCUUUUGUGUUAAUCUUAUCAGUUUAACUCUAAGCACAACCCAAGUGCAUACCUUAUACUGCAGCAUUUAGGGCUCUAUUUUAACGAUCUAGGCACAAAGUCUGAAGCAUGGCGCAAAAGCAUUAAGGGCGUGUUUGAAUCCACUUUUGCUAUUUUAAGGACGGAAAAAUAUGCUCUGCGCUGAGGCGCAUGGUUUAACAGGGUUGUGCUUAUUCUCUUAAUGAAUUAUAGGUGUGUUUUGAGAAUAAACCAAUAAGAGUCUCAUCUCCUGUUCCCUUUAAGAGUCAGUUGCGUCGAGCCAUGGCGUAUUUGCUAUUUACAUGGCGGACUUUGUAAGUGGAAAAACUGAACGCUUCACUAGUGAGAAAAGAGUUAACAGUAUCUGCAGCCAGAGGACAAAGAAUGAGCAUCCUCCAAUCAGCCUUUACUUUCACUUUCUCUAUUGUGUGGAUAAGGAAACGUGGUGUACGCACAGAAAUUAAUCCUGCAGCAUGGAGGAGCAUGGAGGAAGUUUCAAAAACACUAUACUCAGCCAUUUCAAACUUUUCUGUGCCCCCAAAUGAAGAAUGAAAAAUAACUUUGACGUAUACUGACUGGUUAUUACUGUCGCCUUCCAAAAAUAAGGGUGUUGGCUCAAGUCCCUGCUGGGCCUGGAGGAAUUUCUUUGUGGAGUUGCAUGUUUUGCAUUUGUGUUUUUCAUGAGUUCACACUUACAGAUAUUUGACUGAGUAGAAUAUGCGUAUUUGGCAUGCUGUUCAGGGAGAGGGCUCUGAGAUCGGAAAGACACCCUAACUCUUGUUAUUGGACUUAUCAGUAUAGAGAGAGAAAGUGUCUGAGCGUAUUGUCUACCUCAGCUCCAAAAGACUCCACCAUCAGAUUUAUGUGUCGUGUUUAAUAGAGUGGAGAUUGGGUGGUGGAGGAACUCUGAGGUCACGAGACACAGAGGUAUGAUGUGGUUGACCAUUUAUAGGGGUUUGGUCUUGGGCUGAUUGGAUAAUAGAAUUGUUAAUGAUGAAUAGUCUCGUCAAAAUUGUGUGUGCUUCUCCCAAAAUUUGUUUACAAAACAUCAUUUAUUUUAAUGAAUAUAUACUUUAGCUGGAUCAGCAUGUGCUUAUUUUGUCUUAAAAGAUUUAUAUGUGACAACAUGUUCAGUUUAAAAAAAAAUUAUCUUCCACUCAGAUGACAAAUCGUUCAUCAAACGUGGCCACUCAAGAAUCACUCCUAAUAUAUUUGAGCAGCUUGGUGGUAAAGGAUUAAACAAGCACUGGAAAUCAAGUAUAUUAUGCCAGGAUGUAAGUCUCAAUACUCUUAUAAAGGGUAUUUUGAAGUUGCCAAAAUCUAAGAAGAAAUUAUGUACCAUGUAUUUAUUUAUUCAGAAUUCCCAAAUGUGCCAGAAUAUUGAUGUCAUGAUCUCAAGCAUUUUGUUCCCCAUUGAUAAAAUCGAGUUUAGUAUGAUUCCUCAAGUAAAGCACUUCUGUAUAACUCAAGGUUAUGAGGAACAUCUUUUGAAAGAACUUAUUAAAAAAUACCUUCUCAUUCAAGCUUUUAAUAUAGAUAGACUGACUGUAUUUUUCCUGAGUGGAAUAUGGAGUAAUAAUUAAUAUACUAUGCUUAUAAUUCAAUUCAGUGUUAUAAUAGUUCAUAUGGGUUAGCACUGUCCUUAAAGCAAAAAGGUCGCGGGUUCGAGUCCCGGCUGGGCCAGUUGACAUUUAUGUGUGGAAUUUGCAUAUUCUCCCCGUGUUGGUGUGGGUUUCCUCCCGGUUUUCUGGUUUCCCCCACAAUCCAAAGACUUGCGAUACAGGUGAAUUGAAUAAACUAAAUUGGCCAUAGUGUAUGAGUGUGUAUGGAUGUUUCCCAGUACUGAGUUGUGACUGGAAGGGCAUCCGCUGCAUAAAACAUAUGCUGGAAUAGUUGGUGGUUUAUUCCACUGUGGUGACCUCUGAAAUAAAGACUAAUGUGAAGGAAAAUUAAUGAAUGAAUAGUUCAUAAAAUAUAUAGUAUAGUGCAUAUACUGAGCAAAACACUUCUCUCUGUACACAGAGCUCAUUAUUAUUCAUGACCCUUCCAAAUAAGGUAAAACGAGGCCCCUUUUUGCCAGGGAUUGUCCAAGGGUUGUAAAUAGACAUGUACAACCAUUUCUAGAGAAUUUUUGCUUUUACAUAAGCCACAUACCUUCUAUGUGGAUAUUGGAGAACAGUUUAAACAUGUUGCCUCAUUGCAUUCUAUGGUAUCUUUAAAAUCAGAACAGAUUUCAUACACUUCUAUUACUUUUUAAAUGAUUGCAGAGUAAACUGGUCAUCAUACUGUACUUUACUUGACUGUAGAUCAGACAGUAACAUUCAUUCUGGCAAGAAAAAAACUUCAUAGGAUGUUUCGACCCAAAGGUGGGUAAAAUAUGUGUUUUGUUAAUGAAAUAUGUACUAUCUUUUAGUGUAAGCUAAUUUGUUCUCUAUCUGAGCCUUAUAUUGUUUUUUUUAUUAUCAAUGGCAUAGCUUUUCUGCCCCAAUGUAAUGAUUACGUAAUGUAAUAAAGUAAUUAUUAAUAAAUUAUAUUUGGUGGCCUCUGUAGAGAUUUUAUUUUGAUGGGGGAAUCAAGACUGCUGUUGUGAAUAAGACCCCUGCUAUUUCCCUCUCGCACCACCAGAGGAAGCCAUCGCCCAGAAUCCUUCAUACCUGGAACUGAUUGCGGGCCCAGCUGAUUCUAUUCUCCAUUCCUAUAUACCUCUCAUUUCCCUAAGAACUUUGUGAAGUUCUUAUUUACCCUGUUAUUAUUACUGAGCGGGUUCCCUUGUAUUUGCCACUUUGUGUUUUUUGAUUCUUGCAUUGUUUAUUAGACUGUUUGCUGCCAGCCCUGACCGGUAUUAUACUUUGAUUGCCCUUAACCUUAACGUGUCUGUCUUUUACCCGUUUAUUAAAGACUGCAAAUGGAUCUCUCGACAAGGUCUUAGUCAUCAUUACAACUGCAGUAUUUUGGCAAAAUCCAUUAUAUUACAAUUGCAUUGCAUUACAAUCCAUUUAACACGUCUAACACUUAUAGCCCUAUCUUCAUUUCUGUCAAACAUUAUAUCUGUGGCACUAGCUUAACUGAAGUCUGUAGAAAUUAAUUGUAAACUGGGACUGACGGGACUGUCGUUUCUUCAUAUCUGUGACUGACAGUAAUUAAACUGUAAUAUCAUGAGAAAAUAAUGUUUAUUUUAAAAUGUUAUUUAUUUAAAUUAAAAAAUGAAUUAAUAAAUUAACGAUUAACUGGA